rnacentral:tRNA from 1 species
GGGCGAUUAGCUCAACGGCUAGAGCACCUCGCUUACACCGAGGGGGUUGGGGGUUCGAAUCCCUCAUCGCUCA